CUCAUCAUAAAAUAGUUUGUCAGGAGCUAUUAAUGUAAAAUAAAAGGAUAAAAAAUAUAUGGUUCGAAUUAGUCUCGUCAUGAAAUAGUUUAUCAGGAGCUUAUGCUUGAGAUAGCCUUCAUGGGCUUAUACUUAGAUCAGUCGGUCAAGAGCUCAUACUUGGGAUAGCUUGCCAGAAGCUUAUAUCUGAGACAGCCCUCAUGGACUUUCAUACGUGGGACAGCC
rnacentral:lncRNA from 1 species